rnacentral:rRNA from 1 species
GAUGAACGCUGGCGGCGUGCCUAAUACAUGCAAGUCGAGCGAAAAGACCAGGAGCUUGCUCCUCGGACGUUAGGGGAGGGGGGGAGAGAAACAUGUGGAUAACCUACCUAUAAGACUGGGAUAACCUCGGGACACGGGAGCUAAUACCGGAUGAUAUAUUGAACCGCAUGGGGCAAUAGUGAAAGACGGCUUUGCUGUCACUUAUAGAUGGAUCCGGGCCGCAUUAGCUAGUUGGUAAGGUAACGGCUUACGAAGGCAACGAGGCGUAGCCGACCGCUGGGGGUGAUCGGCCACCUGAGAGCUGGACCAGCGACCAUGCGCCUACGGGAGGGAGCAGUCUGGAAUCUUCCGCAGUGGGCGGAAGCUUGACGGAGCGACGCCGCGUGAGAGAUGGCGGUCUUCGGUGCGUAAAACUCGGUUAUGAGUGGAGAACAAAUGUCUCCGUAACUGUGGAGGGCGUGACGGUAAUUAGUAAAGAAGCCCCGGCUAACUACGUG